rnacentral:rRNA from 1 species
CUCCACAUACGCAUCCUUUGCUGAGGAUACGGUUAACGGAGCGAAAGCGACGUUCAACCUCAAAAGAAGCAGAGGGGGCUUAGUGGUGGGGUGACUGCGUACCUUUUGUAUAAUGGGUCAGCGACUUAUAUUCUGUAGCAAGGUUAACCGAAUAGGGGAGCCGUAGGGAAACCGAGUCUUAAUUGGGCGUUAAGUUGCAGGGUAUAGACCCGAAACCCGGUGAUCUAGCCAUGGGCAGGUUGAAGGUUGGGUAACACUAACUGGAGGACCGAACCGACUAAUGUUGAAAAAUUAGCGGAUGACCUGUGGCUGGGGGUGAAAGGCCAAUCAAACCGGGAGAUAGCUGGUUCUCCCCGAAAGCUAUUUAGGUAGCGCCUCGUGAAUUCAUCUCCGGGGGUAGAGCACUGUUUCGGCUAGGGGGCCAUCCCGGCUUACCAACCCGAUGCAAACUGCGAAUACCGGAGAAUGUUAUCACGGGAGACACACGGCGGGUGCUAACGUCCGUCGUGAAGAGGGAAACAACCCAGACCGCCAGCUAAGGUCCCAAAGUCAUGGUUAAGUGGGAAACGAUGUGGGAAGGCCCAGACAGCCAGGAUGUUGGCUUAGAAGCAGCCAUCAUUUAAAGAAAGCGUAAUAGCUCACUGGUCGAGUCGGCCUGCGCGGAAGAUGUAACGGGGCUAAACCAUGCACCGAAGCUGCGGCAGCGACGCUGAUGCGUUGUUGGGUAGGGGAGCGUUCUGUAAGCCUGUGAAGGUGGCCUGUGAGGGUUGCUGGAGGUAUCAGAAGUGCGAAUGCUGACAUAAGUAACGAUAAAGCGGGUGAAAAGCCCGCUCGCCGGAAGACCAAGGGUUCCUGUCCAACGUUAAUCGGGGCAGGGUGAGUCGACCCCUAAGGCGAGGCCGAAAGGCGUAGUCGAUGGGAAACGGGUUAAUAUUCCCGUACUUGGUGUUACUGCGAAGGGGGGACGGAGAAGGCUAUGUUGGCCGGGCGACGGUUGUCCCGGUUUAAGCGUGUAGGUGUGUGUUCCAGGUAAAUCCGGUUCACUUUAACACUGAGGCGUGA